ACACAGGCGCCCUCUCGCCAUUCAAACUAGGCUCUGUCACGGCAGCUUUUCAUUUCUGCCUGUAUUUUCUUAAAUAUCACAUACUAUACGCUUUCGGGGCUAUUUUUAUGUACGGUGAGCUUCGGAGUUAUUUUUUGAAGUUUUUGACGAGUUUCCUGAGCCCUCUGGACUUCCAUUCAUGGACGCUUUCAUAGUGUGAACGUGUAGGGGUAAAAGUGAAUGAACGUUCUGUGAAUAGUUCUAGAAGAGACUUGUGACAGCAGAAAUGGCGACGGAAGGAGGUCUGGCGCCGGGCGGCGACGACAUGCCGGUGGGCGGGCCGAAGACGCCGCAGCAGAUUGCCGCCCAGCGCCGCCUACAACAGACGCAGGCACAAGUCGAUGAGGUGGUGGAUAUAAUGAAAACCAACGUAGAGAAGGUGCUUGAGAGGGAUCAAAAGCUGUCCGAGCUGGACGAUAGAGCAGAUGCACUACAACAAGGCGCCUCACAGUUUGAGCAGCAGGCCGGCAAGUUGAAAAGCAAGUUUUGGUUGCAAAAUUUAAAGAUGAUGAUAAUUGCAGCGGUCAUUGGAAUCAUCAUUUUGGCGCUUAUCAUCGCCAACUUUGUGUGAACAAGUUUCGGUAACCGAAGUUAUAUUUAGCAGUAAAUAAUAAUAGUUACAAAAUACGUUUUUAAACACCAUCAAAAUGAGUGGAGCCGAGGUACCUAUUUCAACAGAAACCAUCAGCGCCAUGAUUUUAAAGUUUUAUUAGAUUUAGUGUUGUUGAAUGUAUUUUAUCGAUAAUAUUUCAGACACUACGUAUUGCAUUUCUUAUCAAUGUUUUAACACACGUCCUAUAAUCCUUUAGUCACUAUCUGCUGUACCUAAAACGAAAAUUAGUGUAUUUUUAGAAGAUCUUUCUUUAUAACUGAAAUAUAUUCUUACAAAACAAAAAUGCUAUUUGCUAUACAUUUUAGACAUCUAAGGCUUAUCAAAAUACCUAACCAUAUCUCAAUCUUUGAAUUGUGUUCAGAAGAAGACGUAUAAAUAUUUAUUGAUUUAUUUUCUCCGUUUGGACCAAACGUCUUAAAAUGUUAGUAUCUGUUUAUUUUUAUACUCAGUGUAUUUUGUAUUCUGUCGUCUAGGGAGGGCUGUUAAUACAUGUCGUACAAUUUUCUGAUUCGUUUAUAUUAAAAAAUAUAGUCCCCGCUUUAAACCCGACAUGGCUCCCGUAGCCCGACGCAGCCUAUACAGUCUGUUGAUUUUGAUAAUAUAGUAUGUACUUCGUUUGUACUAUCGCUUAUAUUUUUGUAUAGAGAAUACCUUUUAGAUGUUGAAUAGGUACAUAGGUUAUUUGUAACGCUGGUUUUGUAAUAGAUGUUAUUAAUGAAAAGGAAAAUUCAUCCAAAAUUUCGAUAAUCAACAUUUUAACUCUUCUAGUUUAUUUUUUUUUUUAAUUACACUGAUGGUUAAAAAUUAACAACUUUGCGGGUUUUGUCCUGUUUGAACAAAUUUUAUCGAUGAAUUUCAGUGUAUAUAAUAGCAUCAAAGUGUUAGGACCAUCUUUAAAUUGAACUUUUGUAUAAAUUUUCCAUUUAUGUGAAACACUUAGAGUUUUUCUUAUAACGAAUAUUAAAUGUAUUACAUAACGAAUUUGCUACGUUAUAUUAUUGAUAGAAUUUGAAAUUGAUAUCUGUAUUUAGAAAAUAUUUAUAUGUGUGUAAAAUUGUAACCGAAGCUUGUAUUAGCCGAUGUACACCGCUUUUGUAGAGAUAAUCUAUCUACAAGAUAAGAUAUUAUCAUAAGUAGAAAUAGUACGAAAUAUAUAGUUGUUUAAUAGUACUGAACAUCUUAAACUAUUUAAUCAGAGUCACAAAUAAUGUACUGGAAAAAUUAUCGAUGCAAGAUGUCCGCAUCACUAUGGACUUGAUAUUUUAUUGACUUUACGGAUUAUUAUUACUAUGCAUGAUAGUUUCUUAUCUUUCACUUUAGUUAAUAUUGAUUAAAAUUAAAAUUAAUUCAUUAAUAGAGUUAUGUAGAGUAUGUUAUUGUUGAAUUUUUAGACAUAGAAUGUUACUAUAUUUAAAUGUGUGAGAUAUUUAGCUA